GAUGAACGCUGGCGGCGUGCCUAAAACAUGCAAGUCGUGCGGCAGCAUGCCCUUCGGGGUGAUGGCGAGCGGCGGACGGCUGAGUAACGCGUGGGAACGUGCCCCAAAGUGAGGGAUAACUGCCCGAAAGGGUGGCUAAUACCGCAUAUGGUCUCCGGAUUAAAGCUUCGGCGCUUUGGGAGAGGCCCGCGUUGGAUUAGGUAGUUGGUGGGGUAAUGGCCUACCAAGCCGACGAUCCAUAGCUGGUUUGAGAGGAUGAUCAGCCACACUGGGACUGAGACACGGCCCAGACUCCUACGGGAGGCAGCAGUGGGGAAUCUUAGACAAUGGGGGAAACCCUGAUCUAGCCAUGCCGCGUGAUCGAUGAAGGCCUUAGGGUUGUAAAGAUCUUUCAGGUGGGAAGAUAAUGACUGUACCACCAGAAGAAGCCCCGGCUAACUCCGUGCCAGCAGCCGCGGUAA
rnacentral:rRNA from 1 species